UUUUCCUCUUUGAAGCCAAGUUUCUAUAGAAGCUUUGGAAGAACGAUUUCAACCAGUUUUGUCCAUUAUUAAAAAAGACAUUUAUUUGCCAAUCAUUCAACAUCACCACUUGUUUAUAACUCUGCUGAUUUUAUUCCCUUUGUGUCCAGGCUGAGAUUCCAGGUGUCUCCCUCAGCUCAUUUACUCCAAAUCAGAAGCAUCAGAUUUGUGGAGACGCUCUGCCUGCCAGACACAGCUCAGGGCAAUGAAACAUGUCUAUCCUCCACAAUAUACAGGCCUGUAUCAUUUAUUGUCUAUAUAUACACAUGUAUAAAUGAUAGAGUGUGAUCAAACAUUUCAUAUGAAAAAUUACAUUAAAUGUCAAACAUUAAGUAUUUAAUUUUUGUUGCAUUUUAAAAGUUCAAAUCUCAAAGACAUUAAGUUUACGAUCAUAUUUGAUGAAGAAAAUCAACAAUCUUCACAUUUCAGAAACUGGAACCAGCUUUAAAUGUGACUAAAAUAAUGAUAAAACAAUCAAUUCUCUAAUCAUUGACUAACUGAUGAAUCACUGCAGCUCCAAUAUAUUGUUGCAUUUGACAACCCACUACAGCAACUACAGAAUAAAACCACUAACCAGACUGAUGACAGAUUUCAAACAUGCUGAAUAUGAAGAGUAGUAUCAUUUAAACUCACAUGAUUAUCAGCCAUAAGAACAAA